GCCCGGGUGGCGGAACUGGCAGACGCGCAUGGUUGAGGGCCAUGUCUACGUAAGUAGGUGGAGGUUCGAGUCCUCUCCCGGGCA
rnacentral:tRNA from 1 species